ACUCCGUACUCCACAGUUAUUCUUCCCUCUGACAGCUUUUGUCUGUAGGCAGGAGACUGAACUGAUGGUUGGGGCCUCUGUGAGUUAUAAACCCUAUAAGGUAUGGCACAGUAUGGGGAAAUAAGUGACUUUACUUUUUCUUUCUUUUUUUAGACAGAAUCCAACUAUUUGUCCAGGCUGGCUUCAUAGUCACAAUCCUUCUGCUUCUGAGUGUCUGGAAUUAUAGGUGCCCCACUGACUUUUGAAGGAACCUUCCACUGAAUCAGAAAAGCCAGACUCUGCCCUCUGCAGCAUUGCCAACAGGAUCUGCUGUCUGCUUUGAGAAUGACCAGUCUUACAAGAUUUAAAUAAGCCCUCAACAAAGUUGAAGGAAGUUAACAUUCAGGGACUCUUCAUAAAAAAGAAAGGAUUUCACCUGGACAUCCCUCUUCUGCUUUAUUGCAUCAAGGAAAGUUGGGCUCUAUUCUGAUUUUUUAAGGGUCUUACAGGAAGCAAGCCUAUGAAUCAAAGACUCAACGGAGUGACCUAAUUGCUAGUCUAGGCUUCCUGCCACUGGCACCUCACCAAACCAUUCACUCCUUCAGAAGAUUUCUUUUCAGAAAUUGAGAGCACUAAUUAUUUGCAGCUGUUGCUGCGCUUGCUGUGACAACCUGAAGGGCUCACCUGAGCCGUCUGGCAGACCCACCAGAGAAUCCUGUGGAAGUCAAAGAUGGGGCAUAUGGAAAUUAUAGGAGGAGAUUCCUCAGAGAAAUCAGAAAAAUCUCAAUAGGAUUAUAUAUUUUGCUUAAAAGCAGGGAACUCUGGAUCUGUUCGCUUUAGAGAGAAAGUACCAGCAGGGAAUUAUAGACCAUAACAAAAGUAAUGAUCAGUGAAGAGGAUGAAGGGAGAGAGGACGAGUCACCACUCUGAGACUGGCAUCCGGGAAAGCAGUGGCUUGUGGCUGGCAGGUUGGAAGUGGAGCAUAACCCAGCCCCUUGGAUAGUUCAGAAACAACCAUAGUGAGUGGAAAUGUUACACCUGGUAGCAAUCUCGGGAUGGGAAUGGAUCAGGACUGACCUGGAAGGAAGUGAGAUCCUACUGGGGACUGACUAGGUGGAGCAUCACCUGUAGGACAUUCAACCAAAACCCCCAGGAAUGGGCACCCUUUAACCGAGAAAGACCUGGAAAUAUUAUUCCUUCAACCCUUUCUAAACAGAGACUGAAGAAUCAUUUUGAAAAGUUAGGAAGUUGGGAGAGAUGUCUUUUUUGUUUUAUUUUUAUUUUUUUUUUGAGUCCAAACUAUUCCAUCAAUGUCGCAAAGAGUCAUAGUCAAUAAUUUUUAAGACAUCAAAGAGUUUUCCUGCAUUUUUGAAAACCUAUGCAUAUUGAAAAAUACUUUUAUAGUUCACGUCAAGAUACAUUAUUCUAGUCACUCAGAGAAUAGCUAGAGUUAAAUCAUUCUAGGUUCUUGAAUGGCAAAGAAUAUCCUUAAAUGAGGAUGCCUAGGGAAAUUUACUAUGAUAGAAUGUUCCCCAAAGAGUUCAUGUGUUAGAGCAACAACGUUCAGAGGUGAAAAGAUUGAAAUAUGAGAGCUGCAGUGGAUUAAUCCAUUUGAUGAAUUAAUUCUAGUGAAUUGCUGGUACUAGAGGCCGGUGAGUGUCGCUGGAGAAGUAGACCACUGCAGGUGUGGUCUUGGACUAUGUCUGUGUACGGUCCUUCUGCUCUCUUACUCUGUGCUUGCUGGCUGCCAUGAACUCGGCUGUUUCUUCCACUACACCUUCUGCUGUCACCUCAGGCCCAAAGCAAUGGAAUCUGCCAUCCAUGGAUUAAGACCUCUGAAACUCUGAGUCCAAAGUAAACUUUUCCUCCUCUAGUUUGUUCUUGUCAUGUCUUUUGGUCCCAGUGACACAACGCUGACUAACACCUUUACACUGUGUUUUUCACAAGUUGCAUUACAUAAGCCAUCUUUCAUAAAAUAGAAGACAAUGUGACAGCUCACCUUGCCUCUUUGGGUUAAUGAUUACAGAGUGGAGGUGGGGGAACUAUUCUCUAUCACACAUCAAACUGUGGCCUGGAUUUACUAACUGGGCUGACUUUUGAAUCUACUACUAUUUUCCCUUAAGAGGCCCUCCCCUCUCUUCCCAUCAGGGACAGACGUUCUGAGGUCCUGGCUCCUUAAUAGAGCUACCCCAGAUGCUCUAUCAUUCCUGUUAAAAGGAAAGAGUAAAUUCAACAAUGUGACUGACGAAGAUUUAAGUGUUCGCCCUCUCUGUCCAAUUUGAGUGGUAAUAAAAAUCAUUAAGCCUCAUUAAAAAUAUAAGCAAUUUCUCAGACAAAAUCAUUAUAAGACAAAAUCAUUAUAAGGUAUCAAAAUUUCUCUUCAAGCCCACAUCAAGGGAAAAGUUUUCUGGAAAGCCAAUUGAAUGAUUUAUCUGUUGGUAGAAAGACUUAAAGUGAAAGAAGAGAGCAUAAACUCUGAUUCGUAGAUUGGGUAAGGAAAUUUUAAAAAUGUAGUCUAAAAUCAUCAGACUCAGAACUGAGGAUCUUGCUCAGUGAUAUAGCAUGUGCUUGGCAUGAUCAAGGCCCUGAUAGUAAAUAAAUAAAUAAUCAAACUCUUCAAGGGAUCAAAGAUUAUAGUUUAUUAGGUUGCUUCUAGGGUUGAUAGAUAGACAUGGGGUUCACAAAAGGAUUGCUUAAACUCAUUAAAAUCUAUCAAGUAAAAUUCCAAUUUCUGUUCAGAUACAGCCACUGAUCACAUUCGAUCAUUAACUUUUGCUUCAGCUUAGAACUGGAACUAAUUUUUUUUCUCAUAUGUAACCUGAAUAUUAUUUUGUACCUUUCCAUGAUCUGCAUUUUUAAAUAUUAACAAAUGUUCCAUUAACAAAGAGAGGAUGACAUUUUCAAAAAAGCAAGGAAUUCAAUAAUUACAACUACAAUAUCGAUCUUUAGCUUGACCCCUUGAGUGAAAUUGAUAAGUGAGAUGUCAUAUCUUGACUUUAAACUUUGGGAAAAACAGCUUCUGACCAAUUCAGUAGACAGAAAAUUAGAAGCAGACUACAGUAGGCUUUUGACUACCAGACAAUUUAUUUCUAUACUCAUAAAACAAUGCAUAGAAACAAAAAUAAAGUUUGGAAGCAAAUCCAAAUAAUACUGUAACACUUAAAAAUAUAAAUACACUAUAUGGUACUGUAACACUUAAAAUAUAAAUAUACUAUAUUUGCAUAUUUAGUAAAAAAUAAACAAAAUCACCACAUGAAGUUAUAUAGAUAUUGUUUUGUUCUAUAGAAUCUUUGAAGACAUUCUGCUAUACUAUGAACUAGAACGGAGCUGUGAAUUCCUAAUCUUCUUGGUGGUCUCUCAUAAGCUUUUGUAAGCUAUUGAAAGCUGCCUCUGUAGAUAGUGAGGCUAUUGUAUGAAAAGCCUUAUAAUAAAGUAGUUCAAAAGAAGCCUUUACCAAUCACCAGUUGUGUGAAUUUAUGUGAAUUAUUUAAUCACCCUGUGCCAGCCAAACUAUUAAUGCAGAUAAAACACUUAGAACAAUACUA